rnacentral:rRNA from 1 species
AUGUUCCAGCUAGGCUCCGCCCCCGGGAAGGGCUUCUGGGCGCGGCACCGGUGGAAGAUGCUGCUCUCGCUGGGCGUCGCCGGCGCCGGCUACGCGGCCUACCGCUUCUACGACGCGCACCAGAAGCAGCUCGUCCGGGUGGAGCAGCGCGCCGAGGAGGAGCGCGCCGCCGACGAGAUCAUCAAGAAUCAGUUGGAAGCCCAUUUUGAGAAGGUGCAGAGGAUCUCCGAUACAACCACGCUGCCGUUUGCUAUGCACUACCUACGUUCGCGGGUAAUGGAGGAGCUGGAUAUUUCGCACCUGACCGAGAGGCUGCUGCAAGGGAAGGGCGAGCUGACGCCAGAGGACAAGUACGAGACCUGGGAGAAGAUCAAAAUUCUGAGUUUCACAAGGACAGUGUCUUCAAUGUGGGCCAUGACAUUGCUGAGCUUAUAUGUUAGAGUCCAGGUCACCAUAUUAGGCAGACAUCUCUACUUGGACUUUGCUCGUGGUACAGAUGGCGCACAAUUGCAGGCGGAAUCUGAUACUUUUAGCGGCAAUGGACAUAAGGACUUUCUUGGAACUGCUGACUACCUUGCAACAUAUGGUAUCACUGCAUUGAUCAGGCAAAUGCAACAUGCUGCGACAGAAAUCUUGAAAGAGAAGCAACUGAAAGACCCUAUGAGCAUGGACCAAGUAUUACAAACGAUGUUACAGAUAUCGGAGCAGUUCAUGAGUCUGUGUGAAGGCAACUCAUGGAUAAAUUUCCUUGUACCUGAAAACGCCAAUCGGUAUGCACAGUUGAUGGCUGUAUCGAGCAGCGGCUUUGAUGACUCAUCUCUUCUAAUGGAUGUUGGAAAGCUUGACCAGCUAAUGACUGAGACACGCAUAGUGUUGGCAAGCGACGAUUUCAGAAAUAUCAUGGACAUGUCAUUGAGGAAGGUAGCUGAUUUGGUGAUAGAGGACUUGCGUGCACAGGUUGGAGCCGCGCUUCCUCCAUCGGGAUUGCCCUUGGCGAAGCUCUUGGCUAGAGUGGCUCAACUGAGCUCAAUGCUGCUCGAGGAACCAAGCAAGAACAAGCACAUCCAGACCAUCCGAAGCAUGCCCGAGGUGGGGCUCUUCUACACAUUCCUCUACGCGAACAUGCCGCCGCAAACGUGA